GCCCAGACUCCUACGGGAGGCAGCAGUGGGGAAUAUUGGGCAAUGGGCGCAAGCCUGACCCAGCAACGCUGCGUGAAGGAAGAAGGCUUUCGGGUUGUAAACUUCUUUUAUCAGGGACGAAGCAAGUGACGGUACCUGAUGAAUAAGCCACGGCUAACUACGUGCCAGCAGCCGCGGUAAUACGUAGGGGGCAAGCGUUAUCCGGAUUUACUGGGUGUAAAGGGCGUGUAGGCGGGGGUGCAAGUCAGAUGUGAAAACUAUGGGCUCAACCCAUAGCCUGCAUUUGAAACUGUUUUUCUUGAGUGCUGGGGAGGCAGACGGAAUUCCUAGUGUAGCGGUGAAAUGCGUAGAUAUUAGGAGGAACACCAGUGGCGAAGGCGGCCUGCUGGACAGCAACUGACGCUGAGGCGCGAAAGCGUGGGGAGCAAACAGGAUUAGAUACCCCAGUACG
rnacentral:rRNA from 1 species